rnacentral:rRNA from 1 species
GGUUGCGGCCAUAUCUACCAGAAAGCACCGUUUCCCGUCCGAUCAACUGUGGUUAAGCUGGUAAGCGCCGGAACGAGUAGUGUAGUGGGUG